rnacentral:misc_RNA from 1 species
UGCCUGUAAUCAACUUUGAACCUGGGGCUAUGUUGAAGGGUGUUGCUGCGUUGGGUUGUAUCCCUUAGGAGGAAUUUUUGCUGCCAUUGCACGUAAAGCAUUAGCAAUUUCAGUGAAGUUCGGUCUCUCUGAUGGCUCUGCUGACCAGCAUCUCUCCAUUAAUGACUUCCAUUCUGGGUCAGAAGAUUCAGGCACUGGUGGCCGCAAUGUAUUGCUCACAAUACCCCCUAUUAUAGCCCCAUAGUGCAAAUCUGC